AUUGAACGCUGGCGGCAGGCCUAACACGUGCAAGUCGAGCGGAUGAAGGGAGCUUGCUCCUGGAUUCAGCGGCGGACGGGUGAGUAAUGCCUAGGAAUCUGCCUGGUAGUGGGGGAUAACGUCCGGAAACGGGCGCUAAUACCGCAUACGUCCUGAGGGAGAAAGUGGGGGAUCUUCGGACCUCACGCUAUCAGAUGAGCCUAGCUCGGAUUAGCUAGUUGGUGGGGUAAAGGCCUACCAAGGCGACGAUCCGUAACUGGUCUGAGAGGAUGAUCAGUCACACUGGAACUGAGACACGGUCCAGACUCCUACGGGAGGCAGCAGUGGGGAAUAUUGGACAAUGGGCGAAAGCCUGAUCCAGCCAUGCCGCGUGUGUGAAGAAGGUCUUCGGAUUGUAAAGCACUUUAAGUUGGGAGGAAGGGCAGUAAGUUAAUACCUUGCUGUUUUGACGUUACCAACAGAAUAAGCACCGGCUAACUUCGUG
rnacentral:rRNA from 1 species